UGCUUCUAAUAAUCCUUUGAGAAAUCAAUUGGAUUGGGUCAUCAAUGUACUUCCAUUACCGGUUCUGAGAAUCUGGUAUUUGAAAGCCCGGUGUUUGUCUUGUAAUCUGUCAGCCUGAUCCGUCUCAACUAAAUGUCAAUCUAAUUUGUCUUGGAGUAGAAUAAUUAAAAAGGUUACGGGACACUUGAUUAUUUAAACUAAGUUUAAAUUAUAAAGAAAAUAAAUUUAAAAAUAAGCUUUAAAAGAUAAAAGAAAAUAAAGUAUAAAAUAAACUUAGUCAAAUCUAUAAAAUAAAUUUAAUUAUAUUUAAAAAAUAAAUUCAAAUAAAUUUAUAAUAAACUGAAUAAGUUUAGAAUAAAU
rnacentral:lncRNA from 1 species